UGGGGUUCCCUCCAAACACUUCA
rnacentral:miRNA from 1 species